CCGAGGUCCUGAGCGUCGGAGACCCCUUCGCAGCGAAGAGGGGAAGAAGGUUCGGGGAGUGGGAUGCGCUUUUUCCCUAAGGACCGAAGGAGGAGUAGCUUCGGACUGCGCUCGGCAGGAAGCCUUGCCGGUGAGCGUUGGGAAGAACUUUGAACAGCUCUAUGGUUCCUGAUUCACAGGAGUCCAAAACGGUCUCUUAAAAGGGCUUGCAGGAAAGGCAGGGGCUUCGUUCUAGAAGCAGGCUUAUGUCUGUGGUUCCUAAGCACCAAACGUGUCUACCCUCUGUUUGAAGGUACAUCCUUGACCAUCCUUGACCUCGCUUAUGACAAGUAGAUAAAUUAGUAACUUCUCAGAGGCCCUUCCAGUGCCGCCUGAAAUACUCCUCUCCCCUGUGCCAUGCCCUGGAAUGUUUCAAAUGCAAGCCGGGUGGGAAAGACUUCUGCAGCCUCCAGUUCAAACGGCAAUGGAAUAAAGAUUUACCGCGAUAAAGAUGAAGUGGUGGAGCCGGGCACAGUGGCCCUCUGGGAGACCAAGGUAGAAGGAUCACAAGUUCAAGCCCAGCCCAGUUCUCAAAGAACCAGGAUAUCUUCAGCAGAUGUAAUCUUGCCCUUGAGCAUCACAACAUCAAGGGACCAUCGAGGCUUCAGCUGUGACCGAAGGCAAAUGGAGUUAUUUUUCGGCAUGCCAUUGCUGGCCCACAAGAAGAUUGGGCCUCAUACAGCCCUAAUCAUAAUUUAAUUGUGUAUUUUUUUCCAAAAAAUUAUGUAGAAUGGCUCCCAACAGUCUGUAUUUUUCAACUCAGGCUGAGCUAAGAGCUGACUUGGGAUACAACCUAGAGCCAGUGCUGUGAUGAUUUGGGCUUGCAGUCAGAAGCACAGCAUAAUAUUGAAGGCAUUUGCCUUACGUGAGAUUGUUACAGGAAAUCAAGCCAGAGGGAGUGGGCUUCUUCAACCAGUCCAGAUGGCUCAAACAAAUCUAGGAAUUCAAAAUAGGCUUGUCAGCCCAAACACCCUUCCCCAGUAUCAGGAUCCUGCAUGUGUCCUAUAUCAGGACCUCAACUUGGACAUGGGAGACUAGCUGGGGCUGUGCCUUCAAUCCCUUCGUAGCUCUGCCACAAUCCUUACAGUCUUUUGGUGUGUGGGAGUUUGGAGGCGGGGGUACUGAUGAUUGAACACAUCACCUUCACACUGAGCUACAGCCCCAGGAUUUUUCCCCCCUGAGAUAGGAUCUUGCUAAAUUGCUAAGUUGACCCAGCAGGGCUGGAGUUUGCACUCCUUCUGCCUCAGGCUCCCCAAACUGCUAAGUGCUAAAUCUAUUCCAAAUCUCAAUACUUCCACUUCCACCUUUUCCUCAGUCCAUUCCACCAUAUAAAAGAAUCCUUGUAAUUUUAAUGCUACUUCAUCCCAGAGUUAGCACUCUCAAUUUCUACUUCAGUAGAGUCCUUACUGCAGACUACCCACGAAGGGAUCCAAUAGCCAGUAUCCAUCCUGAAGAUCUGCUUUCUAGAGCCACUUCAAGAACUAACUUUCCUAGCAGAGGUUCCAUUGAAAGCAGAGCUUGAGAGAGCACAAGGGAUGGCAAUCACUGCACCAAGGAUUCCAGGCCAAGUGAUCUACAACGUUCUGGACUUGUCCUGGAGCUGGGCAAGGUUUGCAGGGGCUCUCAGACAUUACCAUGCAAUGACACAGGGACUGCGCUUCCCCGUUCUGAACAUACCGCCCAACCCCUAGGUGUUUCCCACAAGGCCUGGCCCACCUGUGAGGGGCUCUGGACCUCCCACCUACUCCAUAUCACUCAGCUGCUCCUCUGGAAAGAAGGGAACACCUUUCACGCAGAGCAGGGAAGGCAGAACAGGACAAGUAGAGGCAGAAAGGGACACUUCCUUGGCUGCUGACAGUGUCGCCUGGAGCCAGCCUUCACUCUGUCUUCACCUCCCCAGCAGUUCAUUCAGCAUCAGCUACAGUUACUGAAUACUACCACUGCCGCCUGACCCUGCUGUAGAGUACAUGCAGAACUUGGAAACUGUUCUUGCAACCUGUCUGUGAUUUGCCCUUGACACUAAUAUCAAAGAGUGCAGGGAUGUAUUUUUGUUCUUUUGAAAUUCACUUGCAAUUUAGAGUACAGGAGUUAAUACCCUAAAGACCCUAGCACAGACUGGCUUGUCUGGUUUUGCCUCAGUGAUACAUACUUUUUUAUGUGUGCUGUGAAGCUGUUUUCCCUCUCAUUUGACACUGCUUCUUUUAUUUUCUUGUAGCAUAAAGUAUGGGAAAUAAUGCAAAAUCAUAAAUUCUGUCCCUAACCCUAAGGUAAAUUCCCCUAGGCAAUUAUGUUUGCCAUGGCUGAAGCAUCAGUAAAAGAAAAAUGACUAUAAUCCUCUUUCAUGCUAUUUGAAUUUCAAAUGCGUUAUGAGUCCCUUGAGAAUGUGACAUUAAUUUAGGGAUAUAAGUAAAAUAAUGCAUGUCUAAAGACAUGUUCUUUGCUUUCCUCUGCUUGUUUUGUGUACUUAUGGUGGAAUAAAUACAGUUAUUGUGGCAAAACUUCCUGAAGUGUAACCAUAGAGGAGGUGUGGUGGUGCAUGCCUGUAGUCCCAGCUACUCCAGAGGCUGAAGGACUAGAAAGGCUAAAGGAAGCUCUAGAAGAACACUUGAGCACCCAAGUUUAAGACCAGCCUGGGCAACAGAGAGAGAGACCCCAUCUCAUCUCAAAUAAAUUUCAAAAUAUUUUAAUGUAUAUAUAUAUACACACACACAUUAAUAUAUAUGUUAAUAUAUAUAGUCAUAUAUUAAUAUAUAUUAUAUAUAUUAACACAAUGUAUAGCAUACAAAGGAUCCUUCUCAGGAAGCUUUGUAUAUUCAAACCAGUUUUCCUAAUGACUCAGAUUUCCUACUUGUUAUUUUAUGCUAUAGUUCCUAAAAUCCUAAUCACAAAAGACCUUACAAGAGGAUUUCUUCACAAAAUGAGGAUCCCCUAGCAUUUGAUCUAAGGUCUCAGAAAGAUGUUUCUCUAGAAAAUAGUAAAUAUUGACCAAAAAAUCCAAAUAUGAUUUAAAAAUUUUCACAGUGCUGGUAUAUUCCUUCAGACCUUCCAUAUUUUCACCAGUUUGGUCCAAGGAAGUCUAUUUCUUCUUUUACUAGGCAGUCAUGUUUCAACAGGUGUUUUCCAGGCCCCUACUUUUUACCAGCCCAUUGUGACAGUGAGAAACACAUCAGCCCGGGGUCCUUGCUCUUAGGAAGUUUACAUCUUAGGCAACUCCAGAUUAUGCAGGGACCAGGGAAAAAGUAAAUAGAAUGAUGUGAUAGAAACUUGAGGGCUGUGUCUUCUUUGGAUGUGAGGAUGUCCUCCACUGGUGCUUUGGAGGCUUGGUUCCGCAUGUCACAGGUCCCAGGGGAAGGAGGAGGGAAGAGAAAGUAACAAGUCUUCCAGCUGAAAAAGAACUUGAUAACUAUAUCUUUGUGCCAUCACUUUUUCCUUUAAUUUCAGGGUUUUAAAGCCUUUAUUUUUCCCAAAUUGAAUUACUUGGAUAGAGAGCAUAUGUAUAUGAGAUAUUAUGUCUACUUACCUAUUUAUGAACAUCUAUGUGUUUAUAUAUGCUCAUAGGUAGGGCUAACUAAAAAGAUCGCACCAAUUUAUACUUCCAACAUCAAUGUAAAGGAAAAACUAUGCCAGCUGUCUUUUGAUCGCCUUUUAAAACUUUUUCAAAUUUUGUAAAUAAAAAUAGUAUCAGAUUUCUUUCCUUUUAUUUGUCAGAUUGUAAAGUGUAACACUGAAAAAUGAAGAAUUUUUGUAACCUCUAUGUAAGUCAUAAAACAAAAUAAAACACAUAUAAACUCAUGACCCAAACCAAUAAACUAUAUCCAUUGAUGAGUCCUCUUCUAUCUUGGUCGCUUUACAUCCUUUUCAC
rnacentral:lncRNA from 1 species